rnacentral:tRNA from 1 species
GGAGGUGUGGCUCAAGUGGUAGAGCACCUGCCUAGCAAGCAUGAUAACCUGAGUCCAAACCUCAGUACUACAA